CUUUUAAUGUUACAAUGAUAUUCUCUGAAUCUUCUGAACUCCUUUUCUCCCUAUGAUAACCCUCUACUGGAGUACUCUGAUGUACCAUUUUAUUGUUAUUCUUCAUCAUGACAUUCCCUUUUGCUAAGCUAUACAAUAUAUACAUAGAAAACGAUACACAUAACCACCACAUCACGACAGCUGUUUUCUUGCACUUCAUAUUCCUUAUGUGGGCUGCUCUUCCAGGGAUCCACACCAUCUCCUAUUAUCUGGAAAAGAGAGCUAAGAGAAUAUGUUAACAUUUACAUUAACUUGGCACAUCAUUUUUUCCUCUAAAGGCUUUUAUUUGACAUGCAUGCGUCCAUCUAAAGUUCUCAUCUCCCACAUCUAACAAAUACACAGAGGGUCCAAUUUUGUCAAGCACAAAAUAUGGACCUUUCCAUUUAGGUUUUGGAAAUGGGUGGUGAGGGGAAAAAUCUUGCAACAUUACUCUGUCUCCAAUCUGAU